GACAGAGGUGCCGAGCGUUAGGCGGAAUCACUGGGCUUAAAGCGUGUGUAGGCGGAUCUGUAAGUACCUUGUGAAAUCCCACGGCUCAACCGUGGAACUGCUUGGUAUACUGCGGGUCUUGAGCCACCUAGGGGCAAGUGGAACAAGUGGUGGAGCGGUGAAAUGCGUAGAUAUCACUUGGAACGCCAAUGGUGAAAACAGAUAGCUGGGGUUGUGCUGACACUGAGACACGAAAGCCAGGGGAGCAAACGGG
rnacentral:rRNA from 1 species